rnacentral:rRNA from 1 species
AUUGAACGCUGGCGGCAGGCCUAACACAUGCAAGUCGAGCGAGCGGCGGACGGGUGAGUAAUGUCUGGGAAACUGCCUGAUGGAGGGGGGUAACUACAGGACACGGUAGCUAAUACCGCAUCCCAUCAGAUGUGCCAAGAUGGGGUUAGCUAGUAGGUGGGGUAACGGCUCACCCAGGCGCAGAUCCCUAGCUGGUCUGAGAGGAUGACCAGCCACACUGGAACGGAGACACGGUCCAGACUCCUACGGGAGGCAGCAGUGGGGAAUAUUGCACAAUGGGCGCAAGCCUGAUGCAGCCAUGCCGCGUGUGUGAAGAAGGCCUUCGGGUUGUAAAGCACUUUCAGCGGGGAGGCGUUACCCGCAGAAGAAGCACCGGCUAACUCCGGGCCAGCAGCGGCGGUAAUUC